rnacentral:rRNA from 1 species
UACGUAGGGGGCUAGCGUUGUCCGGAAUCAUUGGGCGUAAAGAGCGUGUAGGCGGUCCGGUAAGUCCGCUGUGAAAGUCGGGGGCUCAACCCUCGAAUGCCGGUGGAUACUGUCGGGCUAGAGUGCGGAAGAGGCGAGUGGAAUCCUGGUGUAGCGGUGAAAUGCGCAGAUAUCAGGAGGAACACCAAUUGCGAAGGCAGCUCGCUGGGACGUUACUGACGCUGAGACGCGAAAGCGUGGGGAGCAAACGGG